UGGGGAAUAUUGCACAAUGGGCGCAAGCCUGAUGCAGCAACGCCGCGUGAACGGUGAAGGUCUUCGGAUCGUAAAGUUCUGUUGCAGGGGAAGAUAAUGACGGUACCCUGUGAGGAAGCCCCGGCUAACUACGUGCCAGCAGCCGCGGUAAUACGUAGGGGGCUAGCGUUAUCCGGAUUUACUGGGCGUAAAGGGUGCGUAGGUGGUCUUUCAAGUCGGUGGUUAAAGGCUACGGCUCAACCGUAGUUAGCCUCCGAAACUGGAAGACUUGAGUGCAGGAGAGGAAAGUGGAAUUCCCAGUGUAGCGGUGAAAUGCGUAGAUAUUGGGAGGAACACCAGUAGCGAAGGCGGCUUUCUGGACUGCAACUGACACUGAGGCACGAAAGCGUGGGUAGCAAACAGG
rnacentral:rRNA from 1 species